UGACUGGGGCGGUCGCCUCCUAAAAGGUAACGGAGGCGCCCAAAGGUUCCCUCAGCCUGGUUGGUAAUCAGGUGGUGAGUGUAAGUGCACAAGGGGGCUUGACUGUGAGACUGACAGGUCGAGCAGGGACGAAAGUCGGGACUAGUGAUCUGACGGUGGCUUGUGGAUGCGCCGUCACUCAACGGAUAAAAGGUACCCCGGGGAUAACAGGCUGAUCUUGCCCGAGCGCUCAUAGCGACGGCAUGGUUUGGCACCUCGAUGUCGGCUCGUCGCAUCCUGGGGCUGGAGUCGGUCCCAAGGGUUGGGCUGUUCGCC
rnacentral:rRNA from 12 species